UACGAAGGGUGCAAGCGUUACUCGGAAUUACUGGGCGUAAAGCGUGCGUAGGUGGUUUGUUAAGUCUGAUGUGAAAGCCCUGGGCUCAACCUGGGAAUUGCAUUGGAUACUGGCAGGCUAGAGUGCGGUAGAGGAUGGCGGAAUUCCCGGUGUAGCAGUGAAAUGCGUAGAGAUCGGGAGGAACAUCUGUGGCGAAGGCGACUACCUGGCCCAUUCUUGACGCUGAGGCGCGAAAGCUAGGGGAGCGAACGGG
rnacentral:rRNA from 1 species